rnacentral:lncRNA from 1 species
AAAGUGCUGAAAGGAAUAGUGGUAGAAUAGAACCAACCUUUAAUUCAAAGGUUGGUUCUGCUGAGACCAAAGGUAAAUAAUUGUUAUAGCAGCAGAGAGGCUGCAGUACUACAGACAGACAACAGAUUUAGCAAAUAAUUGAUUAAAGGGUAAACCUCUUUAACUGGAAAUUAAACACAAAAUUCCAGAGAACAUACAUCCUGAGAAUAGGUUUGAGAGGCUCAUGGAAACCCUAGCCCAAGUCACUUGGUAUCAGAUUAUCCAGGACAAAGCCAUUUUAUAAAGAUUUUGACAGAUGGCUUUUAGUGCCCAAAUCUCAACCAAAGAUUGCAACAUAUACAUUAGG